CAGGGGAUUGCAGUGGCAAAGCUAGGCUAGGUCUUGGAGGCUGGUGUAAGGCGAUGUGGGUGAAGGCAGGAGGCUGAUGGAAAGACUGGGGGGAAGAAAAGCCGAAAUGGAUUCACGGUGCCUUGGAUGAAGGACGAGAGGGGAACUGCAAGCUCCUUCAACUGGUUCUGUCCGGUGAGAAGUGAUCAAGCUUGGGCUGACAAGAGGCUCAGGGAGCCCUCACGUUCUUUCGCUUUUUUACCUGCCAAUCAAACUGCUACAAGACAACACCCUGAUCUGGCAUGGACAUCGCGGGUCCAAGCCUGUAGCCCCAAAUCGGAUAAUCUCUGCAGCUGAUAACAAGCAAAAGAGAAGCCAGGCAACAGCCAUAUUAAAGAAGAAAACAAUCAACUCUGAGGCCUCCCUACAGCGUUGGCUCAGCUCUAGCUACUUGGAAGGUCGUGGCAAUGCUGUCUCAGAAUGUCCGUUUCUAGAGUACAGAGAAGAAAUUCUAGCUUGACGUCCACGUGCAUUUGUCUGUGUUUCAGAGGAAAUUCCAAUUCUAAACUCUUGGAAGAAACAAUUUCUCGGCAUGCUGAAGAGAAUUGCUGUUUUUUGGCACCUGAAACACUUUUACCCAAGGGUUCUGAUUAUUUAAAUAAUUGGUAUGCUAUAAAUAUUCUGGUUGACAGAAAUGUGGUUUAAUGUAGAUGAGUUGUAAAAACAUGAGACAAACAUGCUCCAGGCUAAAAAUAUCUGGAUUAAAAAAGAAAAAGAAAAGAA
rnacentral:lncRNA from 1 species